CAGAAAAAUUCUUAUAAUAACCUGAUUUCACACUUCCCGUUAAGCAUGUUUAGAGUACAUUAUAGCAAAGCAUGUUAAAGCAAUCUGCCCUCCAAAAAGUGCAACUAAGAGGAGAGCCAAUGGAGCAACACUGGAGAACCAGAAAUUCAAUUCUAGGAGAAUGACAGGAGAUAUGUGAGUGGUCAGAGGAAUUAGUGAGUACUCAGUGAUUUUAGACGCUUUGCCAUUGGUGAGGAGCAGGGAAGUUCUUUCUCCUUGUUAAAAAAGAGGAUCUGGAAGCUAUAGAAACACACGGCGAUUUCUCAUCUUAAGCAGAGUUCUGGGGUACGUGAUAAAAGAAGAACUUCAGCUGAAUUAAAUUUAAAGGAGUUUGAGCAAUGAAUAAUUCGCGAAUUGGGCAGCCCCCAGAAUCACAGCAGAUUCACAAAGACUCCAGUGCAACCACGUGGUAGAAGAAGAUUUACAGACAAAAAAAAAAAAAAAAUGGAAAUGACAUACAGAAAUUGGAAGGAGAGUACAGAACUGCCGGUUGGUUACAGAGAGAGGAAAGCAAAAAUUGUUCUCUACAUCUGAGCUGUGGUGUCAGCAUAUUACCCACCACUAGAGCACAAAAGCAAAGUUCAGGCCCUCAUUUUAGAAUCAACAUGGGUGGCUGGUGACCGUCAAUUUCACCAAUGGGUAAAAACACACGACUUCCCUGGAUGCCUGUCAUUUGCCUCUCAUCGCAUAGUAACCAGCUGUAUAAGUAAGCAAAAAAAUCCUCGAAACUGUUUAUUGACUAUAAUUAACAGGGUUUAUGGUAUUUGAAAGCAAAUAAGCACUAUGACAAAUAUAAUAAAAUAUGAUGCAUAAAAAUGAUGUAAAACCGACUUGAUGUUCUGACUUUCCAGUGAAAGUCGUUUUCCUGGUUUACCUGAUGAAAUGUUUCAGAGGUUCAUUGCAUGAACUAUGAGUCAUAGCUUCAAGUCUCUGGUUGCCACUUUACCAUUUACAUGAUUUAAGGCCAAAAUCUG
rnacentral:lncRNA from 1 species